rnacentral:rRNA from 1 species
GUGGGUAGCGGUGAAAUUCCAAUCGAGCCCGGAGAUAGCUGGUUCUCCCCGAAAUAGCUUUAGGGCUAGCCUCAAGGUGAGAGAUACGGAGGUAGAGCACUGAAUGUCCUAGGGGGUAUUGCACCUACCGAAGACUAUCAAACUCCGAAUGCCGUCAUCUUAUACUUGGGAGUCAGACUGUGGGUGAUAAGAUUCAUAGUCGAAAGGGCAACAGCCCAGAUCGUCAGCUAAGGUCCCUAAAUGUAAGUUAAGUGGUAAAGGAUGUGGGAUUGCACAGACAACCAGGAUGUUGGCUUAGAAGCAGCCACUCAUUCAAAGAGUGCGUAAUAGCUCACUGGUCGAGUGAUCCUGCGCCGAAGAUUUCCGGGGCUAAAACUUACUACCGAAGCUACGGCAUCAGUAAUGAUGGGUAGGGGAGCUUCCCAUACAGGUUGAAGCAUGACCGUAAGGACAUGUGGACAGUAUGGGAGUGAGAAUGUUGGCAUGAGUAGCGAGAUGUGGGUGAGAAUCCCACAGGCCGUAAACCCAAGGUUUCCAGGGGAAGGUUCGUCCGCCCUGGGUUAGUCGGGACCUAAGCUGAGGCCGAAAGGCGUAGGUGAUGGACAACAGGUUGAUAUUCCUGUACUACCGAUAACCGUUUGAGAGAAGGGAUGACACAGUAGGAUAAGCUAAGCACACUGUUGGUUAUGUGUGCCCAAGCAUUGAGGCAGUCAAAGUAGGCAAAUCCGCUUUGAUAAUGCUGGGAUGUGAUGGGGAGCGAAAUUUAGUAGCGAAGUAGCUGAUUUCACACUGUCAAGAAAAGUCUCUAUCGAGGUUAAAGGUACCCGUACCGCAAACCGACACAGGUGGGUGAGGAGAGUAUCCUAAGGCCAGCGAGAGAACUGUUGUUAAGGAACUCGGCAAAAUGACCCCGUAACUUAGGGAUAAGGGGUGCCACCAUCAGGUGGCCGCAGAGAAUAGGCCCAAGCGACUGUUUACCAAAAACAUAGGUUUCUGCUAAGUCGCAAGACGAUGUAUAGG